AUAUGAAGGCUUAGAGAUCUUAUUUAAAGUUAUAAAGUUAAGCAGUAGAAAAACUAAAAAUAAUAGUGCUAAUAACACCUGUUGGGGAGGGAAAGGGAGAAAAUAUAAUUAAGCUUCCCAGAGAGCCAACUCCUAGUAGAUCUUCAGACUGAAAUGUCAGCUGGGGCCAGAGUAUGAGAGGCCUACUGGAAAGCCCUAAACCAUUCAGAACAUGGGGCUGAAGAGGACAGAGGUCAGGUCAGAGGAGGCGGGCCAAGGUUGAAAAAUGGUUCUACAGGGAACAGGAGUGGAAAAUGGAUUAAGGCAAGGGAGCCUCUCUCUAUGGGCACCACCACCAACAACCCAUGGAGGGGUUCUGCCAGGCCACUAGCAAUGUUCACUUAAAGCCCAACCUCUUCAGUCAGCUUGUGGUGCAUAGACUGGCGGCUGCCAGGGGAUAAGGAAGCAGUGGCAUUGGAAUUCAAGACUGUCUCUCUGACCUUCCUGAAUGACUCAGCAAUAUGAAGUUAAAAUCAGGUUCUUCUUUGGAAUUGGUGGCUGGCUGCUUGCUUAUGAGUGUAGACAUGUGACCCAAACACUCCUCCAUCACUGCUCUGUGGCCUCAGCUGUGAAGCUUUUCUGGAUAAGGGUCAAGGAUAUCCUCAUGACUAAAUGAAAUCCUAUUACGGAUACAAUUUCUUUAUAAGAGAUCUUAAGAAAAUAUCAAAACUCCCAGAAGCCUUCCUCUUUUACUUUUGCCUUUUUACAUCUGUCUCCUCAUCGCCUGUUCACUCACUGAGACACCCGUAAGUGCCACUACAGAGAGGAGGAGAGAGCUGUGUGUGUGGAGGGUGUCUCCACACUGCCUGUGUGCAGUGUGUGCUGCAGAUGUACAGGAUUCGCUGAUCCCCAGAAGAGGACUGAAGAGAGACCAGAGCUGGGAGUAAUGUAGCCAAAAAGGAGUCAUAUCCCUGCAUCUCAGUCUUACCACCAGGGGCAUGAGAGCUGCUUGGAAAGAAAUUAGAACACUUCCCUGCUUCCCGAUGGGCAUCAGGGGCAAGGAUCCCAGCUUUUGCAUAGGACCUCAACAUUCUUUUCUCCCACUGCUGAUUUCCUUUAUACCUCUGCUUCGGCUCAUUUCUGGAAAAGUAAAAGAAAAGACAUUCAAUGCAUAGCCACAGAAGCAUGAAAUGGCAUAUUGUGUUUAGGAGCUAUGUGGACUUGUGAAUUGCUGGAAUAGUAUUGCAGAAAAUGACAUUAAUAGUAGAAAAAAAAAAAAACCCCACAGAACUAGAAGCUAAACAAGCAAGCCAGAGAUGCAGUCAUGAAAGGCAUUGCUUAUCCAGGGGACAGCAGAUAAGAAUGAGCAAAGGCUGGCGCAGUGGCUCCCACCUGUAAUCCCAACACUUUGGGAGGCAGAGGUGGGUGGAUCACCUGAGGUCAGGAGUUUGAGACCAGUCUGACCAACAUGGCGAAAACUCAUCUAGUAAAAAUACAAAAAUUAGCCAGGCAUGGUGGCGCUGCCUGUAGUCCCACCUACUCGGGAAGCUGAGGCAGGAGGAUCGCUUGAACCUGGGAAGUGGAGGUUGCAGCGAGCUGAGAUCAUGCACUGCACUCCAGCCUGGCUGACAGAGAAAGACUCCAUCU
rnacentral:lncRNA from 1 species